rnacentral:snRNA from 1 species
AGCUUUGCACAGUGGCAGUAUCGUAGCCAAUGAGGUUUAUCCGAGGCGCGAUUAUUGCUAAUUGAAAAAAAGAAGUUCUCAACAAGA